AUGGGGGAGCAGUGGCAUCAGAUAGUAGAUACAUUCAGUAAGAUUUGUAUUUCUAGUGAGGAUGACAAAAUCAAAUGGGGGCUGGGGUCUAAAACCUACUUCACCACUCACUCAGCUUAUGCUUUCUUGGAGAGACAUAUUGUGGGGUGUGACUAUAACUGGAUCUGGAGGGCGAGUAUACCUCUGAAGAUCCAAAUCUUUAUGUGGCAAUUAUCGCAAAAUGCAAUCUUAACCAGAGAUGUAAUGAAGCACAGGGGGUGGAAAAAAGAUCCCAAAUGUUCAUUUUGUGCAGCAAAAGAGACAUCCUAGCAUCUCUUCUUUACCUGCCCAGUGGCCAGGGUAACUUGGAGAGCGGUGGCUUGUAUGUUUGGGACUGAUUUAUGCCCAAAUAAUCUAUGGCAAGCAUAUGCGUGGUGCCACUCGUUUUUCCCAGAAGGGGAAGUAUUUUACAUAGUGGGGCAUUGCUGCCAUAUGUUGGGCGAUUUAGACGUGUCGUAA
rnacentral:rRNA from 1 species